rnacentral:rRNA from 1 species
GACGAACGCUGGCGGCGUGCUUAACACAUGCAAGUCGAACGGAAAGGCCCUGCUUUUGUGGGGUGCUCGAGUGGCGAACGGGUGAGUAACACGUGAGUAACCUGCCCUUGACUUUGGGAUAACUUCAGGAAACUGGGGCUAAUACCGGAUAGGAGCUCCUGCUGCAUGGUGGGGGUUGGAAAGUUUCGGCGGUUGGGGAUGGACUCGCGGCUUAUCAGCUUGUUGGUGGGGUAGUGGCUUACCAAGGCUUUGACGGGUAGCCGGCCUGAGAGGGUGACCGGAUAUAGGGGGACUGGGAUAGGGCAGAGACGCAUGCGGGAGGCAGCAGCGGGGAAUAUUGCACAAGGGGCGGAAGUAUGAUGCAGGAACGCCGCGUGGGGGAUGACGGCAUUAGGGUUGUAAACCGAUGUCGCCUGGGAAGAAGCGUGAGGGACGGUAAGGGGGUAAGCAGCACAGGAUAACUAAGUG